CCUACGGGUGGCAGCAGUGAGGAAUAUUGGUCAAUGGACGAGAGUCUGAACCAGCCAAGUAGCGUGAAGGAUGACUGCCCUAUGGGUUGUAAACUUCUUUUAUAUGGGAAUAAAAUGUUCCACGUGUGGGAUUUUGUAUGUACCAUAUGAAUAAAGAUCGGCUAACUCCGUGCCAGCAGCCGCGGUAAUACGGAGGAUCCGAGCGUUAUCCGGAUUUAUUGGGUUUAAAGGGAGCGUAGGUGGAUUGUUAAGUCAGUUGUGAAAGUUUGCGGCUCAACCGUAAAAUUGCAGUUGAAACUGGCAGUCUUGAGUACAGUAGAGGUGGGCGGAAUGCGUGGUGUAGCGGUGAAAUGCUUAGAUAUCACGAAGAACUCCGAUUGCGAAGGCAGUUCACUGGACUGCAACUGACACUGAGGCUCGAAAGUGUGGGUAUCAAACAGGAUUAGAUACCCUUGUAGUC
rnacentral:rRNA from 1 species